AACGCACAUUGCGCCCGCCAGUAUUCUGGCGGGCAUGCCUGUUCGAGCGUCAUUUCAACCCUCAAGCCCCCGGGUUUGGUGUUGGGGAUCGGGCUGCGGUUCUACCGCGUCCCGGCCCCGAAAUCUAGUGGCGGUCUCGCUGCAGCCUCCAUUGCGUAGUAGCUAACACCUCGCAACUGGAACGCGGCGCGGCCAAGCCGUUAAACCCCCAACUUCUGAAUGUUGACCUCGGAUCAGGUAGGAAUACCCGCUGAACUUAA
rnacentral:misc_RNA from 1 species